AUGUGGUCAAGCAUUGCUCAUUUGUGGGAGAUGUGUUAUUUUUCACCUUUUCACCUCCUUGCACUCAGUCUGCAAAAAGAACCCAUCUCAAGGCAGAGAGAGGCCCUGCUGCUGUCCUGCCUCACACCAGCAAAACUAUCAACAGGAAGAAGAUUGCCAGCUCCACUCAGAGACUCUACCCUGAAGCACCAAGCUGCCGACAGAGACACCACUUUAUUUUUAAAAGAUUGUUGCACACAUAAAACAGAGCACUCAGAAACAGAAAAGACUGCUACCCACAACCUUUUCAGAACAUGUUGCACCCCUGCCACUUUAAGCUAUAUAGAAGCAAAAUAA
rnacentral:lncRNA from 1 species